GUGUUUGGUGAUUCUUUAGUUGGCUUCUUGUGGCUCGGUGGAUGGUGGGCAAGCCAGAUUUAGGGUGAAGGCGAAGGGAUAACUAUCAUGUUACUAAUAUUUCUACAAAUUGGCGGUUUCAGAGGAAAUGACCCAAAGACUGAAGAGAGGCCCUGGAAAAUGGGCUAAUCCCUUUAAGAGCCAAAAUACGAUUGUAAGCCUGGACAGAAAGCUUCCUUGCUUGGGCACUGUGGGAACCCUGCUCUGACUAUUGCCUCCUAUGCUCUUAUAAUCUGGCAAGUGAAGUGUCUGCUGUUCUCAGCAAAUCUUAAUGAGAUGGUGGUGAUGGAAAGUGGUAUUUGUCUUUCAGAUGGAGAGGUCUCUCCUCCACCCAUCACCAGGAGCCGGCAGGGCAUUCCUAGAUCACUAGGCCCCUGGUCAACCACCACUAAUCUGAAAGCCUCAACUUCAUGCCUGGCAUUGGGACUGGUGACUCCGAUGGCCAGCUGGGCUGCUUUUUCCACAAUGGCUUCGUGGUUCUUGGAGGAGACAUUCUGAGCAAUCUCUGCACAGUAAGAUUUGUUGCACAUCAGCAGCACUUCAAGCUCCUUGACGUUGUAGACAAGGAACUUCCGGAAGACACUGAGCACUAUGUGCUUUGUUUUCUUGUUGCUCCCAUAACCAGUGUUGGGUGUCAAGAUCUGGCCCUUGAAUCUUCUGUGCACCCUAUUGUCAAUGCUUCUGGGUUUCCAUCAGUUGCACUGAAUUUUGACAUAUUGGUUGGAGUGGUGCCGGAUGAACUUCUUGGUCCUCUUUUAACAAUCUUGAACUUCACCAGAGGUCUGAGGGUGGCCAUGAUGCUGAGUAGGAGACAGCUGCCACCUCUGCAGGCGGCAUGGAAGAAGAGAGAAUAUUUGCAACUUCUUACUUGAAGCAGAAGUAUGGUUUACAAUGGUCUCCUGGUUUAAUUUGAUUGCUGUGUUUAAACUGAUUUUCUUUUUUAUGAAUGGAAUCCUUACUUAAAGAUUUUAAGAUAGUUCAUGAGUUGACAACUAUACAAUAAAUAUUUUUGGGGGAGGAUGAGCAUUAAGAAGUAUUUUACAAUGUAAGUAAUCACUCACUAAUUAAUCUCUAAACUUGGAUUUCUAAUUAUCUGAUUUUCCUAGUCACAUGGACACUAACAGUUUACUUUUGCAAAUGGGCAGAAUGAUGAAAAUGAUCGAUAGUGGGAAAGAUUUUAAAAGAAAGAAGAAACUAAUUCAAAACUACAGACCACUGGAGAUCAUUUAAUGAAUUUAACUUGGUCUAUUAAGUAGGAGCUCAAUGGGCUUAAAAAGAUAGUCAACUUUCAAAGUGUCUCAGGCAUUAAGAGAAUCUGGUUUAGCUUUGAGAAAUCUAGAAGCAACAACAGAAAUAACCAAUCUAUAUGAUAGGACUAGUUGCUGGUUAUAUUUCUUUGCGCUUUAAGCAGGAAAAGUAAACAUUUCACGGAACAUAUCCAGUUGGCUAGAAUAGCUGCCCUAAUCAACUAAAGAUUUUUUGGCCACCAUAAACCCCAAUUAGCCUUGUCUUUUAUGCUCCUCAUUAUAUUGUAUAAAUAAUAAAAUUGUUGAAUUAAAGAGAAACUAGAGGUUAUCCAGUUUAGUCUUUAAAAUUUACCUAUGAGGAAACUAAUACUCAAGGAAGCUAAAUGAUUUACUUAAGUUUUACCACCCAAGGACUGUUGAAGAAGCAGACAGACGAUGUUCCUGCUCUCAUGAAGAUCACAUUUUAGUCAAAAGGGGAUACAGAAGAAGCAAAGCACACGUACUUGAAGAACAAAGUAGAUGGUGAGAGAGAGGAGUGCACACAAGCAGGAGGAGCAGCAGAGGGAGAGAGAGCAGCAGGCUCUCUGCUGAGCGCAGAGCCCAAUGCGGGACUCGAUCCCAGGACCCUGAGAUCAUGACCUGAGCUGAAGACAGAUGCUUAACCGACUGAGCCACCCAGGCGCCCCAAAAGUGACUUUCUUUUCCUCUGUGUCUAUGAAAUGAUCACAGAAUUGGAUGAGGAGAGUGGCUUAUUAUAGUGGCUUGAAUCAGCUUUUUGUUUGCCACAUCAUUAAUAUCUAGUGGAUUUUUAUUGUAUUCAGCCGCAGUCAGGUCAGAUGAUAGUUUCCAGAUUGCCCCCGUUUCCUUAAGCAUCUGUCACCUGUAAACAUACCUGAUAGAGAUAUCUGUGUCAUUUACAUUCUGUGAUAGGCAGAACAAUGCCUCCAAAGAUGUCCACAUUUAAUCCCUGGAACUUGUGAAUGUUACAUGGCAAAGAAAAAUUAAUGCAGAUGGAAUGAAUGUUGCUAAUCAGCUGACCUUAAAAUAGGGAGAGCCUGGAUUCUCCCUGUGGACCCAAUAUAAUUACAAGGUUUCUUAGAAGUGGGAGAGGAAGGUAGAAGGGAGGGAGUAUCAGAGGAAGAUGGGACAAGGGAAGAAUAGUCAGAGAGCUGCAAUGUUACUGGCUUUGAAGAUGGAAGAAAGAAGCCUCUAAAAGCUGAGAAAGGCAAGGCAAUGCAUUAUUCUCUAGAGACUCCAGAAAGGAAUGCAACCCUGCUGAUACCCUGAUUUUAGGGCUUUUGACUUCCAGAAGCAUAAUAGAAUUUUGUAUUCUUUUUGUUUUUAAAGGUUUAUUUUAUUUAUUAUUUUAGAGAGAGAGAGAGCAUGAGCAGGGGGAGGGGCAGAGGGAGAGAAAGAAUCCUCAAGUAGACUCCCUGCUGAGUGGGGAGCCCAACACAGGUGAUCCCAGGACCUGAGAUCAUGACCAGAGCCAAAAUCAAGGGUUGGCUGCUCAACCGACUGAGCCACCCAGGCACCCCAGAAUUGUGUGUUGUCUUAAGCCACAACGUUUGUGGUAACUUAUUACAGCAGCAAUAGAAAACUAAAGCAGAUUCCUAGUUUUAAGCACAAGAAACUAAAGGACUAUUUUAAGUAGUAGAAACUUACCAGAAGAGAUUUAUCAAGUAGCUCGCAGAACCUUCAGGAGGGCUGGAGGGCAAGCCCCAGAGGCUCCCUGUCAGAAGCCCUAACACAGUCUUCCUGCAGACAUGCUUCGCCGACCUGGGGCAGCGCCCUGGGGGGUAUUGUAUCGUUGACAGCAACGCUGGACACCGAGCCUCAACCGCUGUUGCUAGAACUGCAGCCUCUCUGGAAAUGGGAUGUAGAUGCUGCCAUGUAUCCUCCUCUCUAGAAAUAGAUUUGUGCAGUCUCCACUUCUUUAGGUCAUUAACUUCUAAUCAAAACCUGGAGUCUGUAUGUCUGAUUGCUCUGGCUUGGCUGUUAUGUGGGCACCUUAGCUGCAAGGGAGGCUGGAAAAGUGAAUAUCUGGUACAUUUGGCUUCUCUGAUCUGCUGCCAAGGUGGUGGAUUCCUCAUAUAAGAAGGUGAUUCAUAUGCUGGUUACUAAAACGAAUGAAUACCAUCCACCAGAGCACCUACAAUCCCAGAAGAGGAGAGAUCGUCUCUGUCUCCCAGAGUCUAUCUCAAUCUCUGAGAAGGAUUUUGACUGGCCUGGCGUGGGUCUUUUGCUGUCUCCUGUAACCAAUUAUUCUUUAAGGUAUUUAUGACAACUGUCACAACAGAAGAAAUGGCUUUAUUUAGGAAGAUUUCAUCAUACCCAAUAAACUCAGACUGUCCCUACAAAUUUAUCCAUCUCCAAUCAGAUGACCCACUCAAAGGCAAAUAUAACAGGUGGGAUUGUUUUUCUUUUCUAUUUACGGUUGUCCAUACAUUGAAGAUUGAACCUGUAGUGAUCCUCCAAGCCAUCUUCUCUCCUUUGAGGAUAAUGCUGUGGCCAAAUACUGUGGAUGCUGGACUUUGAAAUGGACAAGCACUCACUAUGCGCCCAUGCUGUGUAGAAGAUACAACAUCACGGUCCUGUCCUAUUGAAAGUUCAGUCUAUAUCCAGCUGAGAUCAGGGCUCUGUAACCUUGAUUUUAAGAUGGAUUAAAAAUGAAGUGUGAACAAUAGCCAAACUGUGGAAAGAGCCAAGAUGUCCAUCAACAGAUGACUGGAUAAAGAAGAGGUGGUAUAUAUAUACAAUGGAAUAUUAUGCAGCCAUCAAAAGGAAUGAGAUCUUGCCAUUUGCAACGACGUGGAUGGAACUGGAGGGUCUUAUGUUGAGUGAAAUAAGUCAAACAGAGAAAGACAUGUAUCAUAUGAUCUCACUGAUAUGAGGAAUUCUUAAUCGCAGGAAACAAACUGAGGGUUGUUGGAGUGGGGGGGGGUGGGAGGGAUGGGGUGACUGGGUGAUAGACACUGGGGAGGGUAUGUGCUCUGGUAAGUGCUGUGAAUUGUGCAAGACUGUUGAAUCUCAGAUCUGAAACAA